rnacentral:rRNA from 1 species
UGACGCUGGCGGAUGUUUACACAUGCAGUCGAACGGCAGCACGGACUUCGGUCUGGUGGCGAGUGGCGAACGGGUGAGUAAUAUAUCGGAACGUGCCCAGUCGUGGGGGAUAACGUAGUGAAAAUUACGCUAAUACCUGCAUACGAUCUACGGAUGAAAGCGGGGUGAUCGCAAGACCUCGCGCGAUUGGAGCGGCCGAUAUCAGAUUAGGUAGUUGGUGAGGUAAAGGCUCACCAAGCCAACGAUCUGUAGCUGGUCUGAGAGGACGACCAGCCACACUGGAACUGAGACACGGUCCAGACUCCUACGGGAGGCAGCAGUGGGGAAUUUUGGACAAUGGACGCAAGUCUGAUCCAGCCAUUCCGCGUGCAGGACGAAGGCCUUCGGGUUGUAAACUGCUUUUGUACAGAACGAAAAGGUUUCUAUUAAUACUAGGGGCUCAUGACGGUACUGUAAGAAUAAGCACCGGCUAACUACGUGCCAGCAGCCGCGGUAAUACGUAGGGUGCAAGCGUUAAUCGGAAUUACUGGGCGUAAAGCGUGCGCAGGCGGUUAUGUAAGACAGAGGUGAAAUCCCCGGGCUCAACCUGGGAACUGCCUUUGUGACUGCAUAGCUGGAGUACGGCAGAGGGGGAUGGAAUUCCGCGUGUAGCAGUGAAAUGCG